CUUAGUAACUGCGAGUGAAGCGGCAAAAGCUCAAAUUUGAAAUCUGGCGUCUUCGGCGUCCGAGUUGUAAUUUGGAGGGAUAUCUUCGGGGUUGGCGCCGUCCUAAGUUCCUUGGAACAGGACGUCAUAGAGGGUGAGAAUCCCGUGCCUGGAUGGCUGCCCAACUCCAUGUGAAGUGUCUCCGACGAGUCGAGUUGUUUGGGAAUGCAGCUCAAAAUGGGUGGUAAAUUUCAUCUAAAGCUAAAUAUUGGCGAGAGACCGAUAGCGCACAAGUAGAGUGAUCGAAAGAUGAAAAGCACUUUGAAAAGAGAGUUAAAAAGUACGUGAAAUUGUUGAAAGGGAAGCGCUUGCGACCAGACUCGAUCUUUGGUGAUCAGCCGGGCUUCGGUCCGGUGCCCUCGCCAUUGAUUGGGCCAGCAUCGGUUCCGACGGCGGGACAAAAGGGGGAGGAAUGUGGCUCCCUUCGGGGAGUGUUAUAGCCUCCCUCACAAUGCCGCCAGUUGGGACCGAGGACCGCGCUUCGGCUAGGAUGCUGGCAUAAUGGUCUUAAGCGACCCGUCUUGAAACACGGACCAAGGAGUCUAACAUCUAUGCGAGUGUUCGGGUGGAAAACCCUUGCGCGUAAUGAAAGUGAACGGAGGUGUGAACCCUUCACGGGGUGCAACAUCGACCGGUCCUGAUGUCUUCGGAAGGAUCUGAGUAAGAGCAUAGCUGUUGGGACCCGAAAGAUGGUGAACUAUGCCUGAAUAGGGUGAAGCCAGAGGAAACUCUGGUGGAGGCUCGCAGCGGUUCUGACGUGCAA
rnacentral:rRNA from 1 species